UACGUAGGGUGCGAGCGUUACUCGGAAUUACUGGGCGUAAAGCGUGCGCAGGCGGUUUUGGAAGCCAGGUGUGAAAUCCCCGGGCUCAACCUGGGAAUGGCAUUUGGGACUGCAAGGCUGGAGUGUGGCAGAGGAGACUGGAAUUCCUGGUGUAGCAGUGAAAUGCGUAGAUAUCAGGAGGAAUACCGAUGGCGAAGGCAGGUCUCUGGGCUGACACUGACGCUCAUGCACGAAAGCGUGGGGAGCAAACAGG
rnacentral:rRNA from 1 species